AGGAAAUAAAUGGAAACAUGCACAAGAAAAUGAAUCACUACUCUUGUUGUCAGUUACAUGACAGGCCAGCGAAUGAGUCUGUUCAAUCCCCACUGAGAGAAUGGCAUUGAGAAGGCUCUUUAGACACCCCAGUGAGGUUGCCUUGAAGUAAUAAGAGAGAAGAGGGGACUGGAAUAAUGAAUAAGCAGCGGUGAAAGCUCUCAGCUAUCUCCUGUAUAAUUCGCCAAAUUACUUUCUUCUGGCAACAUAAAGCUCCUAUUAUAGUACCGUAUUUAAAAUAAAUGAACCUAUAUAGAUCUGAUGGUAUCAAUAUUGUCUCAAACUCCUACUUGAUCCCAGGGAAAAUAUGCUCAAGGGACAAAAUACUAAGUUUCAAACAAUUUUAUCUUUAAGAUUCAGUUUAAGUCAGAUCCAAGAGGCCUACUUGGACUUGGACCACACCUUGGACUAUUCUUUCCCUAAUCAGCACACAAUAUUCAAAGAAGCAACAAGUGGAAGACUUUCUUAUCUCUCUUUUGAUAGGUAACAGUGGGUAGCCUGAGUGUGUGUAAGAGGAAAGGGGAGAAAGAGAAGCUGUAGAAAAGUGUACAACAUGCAAACAUAGUAUGGUGAAAUUUAACAACAGAAACAAAGAAAUUAUAAUUUCACCUCUCUUAAGCCAAAUAUCUAUUUCAGAUUGAAUAAUUAGAUUCUGGGUUACUCCUCAGGGCAUCUGAGUGGACAAGAAUAGACCCUUCUCAAUCAUUAUACUCACAUGCUGCACUGAGGCACUGUGCAAGAGUACAGUCCACUGCAAUGAACCAGUCAACAGAGGCCCACAAAGGCAAGCCUCUGUGCUUUGAGACUAUGGAAGAGAGUACCUGGAUCUAGUUUAUUCCAAAGACAGACAAGCAGUUUGUGCCUCCACUCCAGGAUGACUAACUACAACGAUUACACGUAAAAAGACAAAACAAGGCCGGGCGCGGCGGUUCACGCUUGUAAUCCCAGCACUUUGGGAGGCCGAGGCAGGCGUAUUACGAGGUCAGGAGAUCGAGACCUUCCUGGCUAAGACGGUGAAUCCCCGUCUCUACUAAAAAUACAAAAAAUUAGCCGGACAUGGUGGCGGGCGCCUGUAGUUUCAGCUACUCGGGAGACUGAAGCAGGAGAAUGGCGUGAACCCGAGAGGCGGAGCUUGCAGUGAGCUGAGAUCGCGCCACUGCACUCCAGCCUGGGCGACAGAGCGAGACUCCGUCUCAAAAAAAAAAGAAAAAGAAAAAGAAAAAAAAAAAAACCUUGCUACACUAAGUUCCUGAGGGCCAAGGAAAGCCAUUUAGAUCUUUGGGUUUCAUUUGCUUCACUUAAGCAUCUUUAUUUUUGCACUUGAACGUCUGGCAGAGCAUUUUGAUGAUGAUGAUGCACAAAUACUACGAAUAAAUGGAUGCGUGACUAGCUAAAUAGAA
rnacentral:lncRNA from 1 species